AACCUCCAGGAUUAUGUGAGGAUUGAAUGGGACAAGGACAUCAAGUGUUAGCACAGUGUCGUCACCCAGGGACCACUCAAUCGGUGGAGGCCACACCAUCAUCUUCACACGCUGGCCUACAAGAUAGAGCUGGGAUUCUCCCCCUACUAGGUAACUUGCUAUGUCACCCGAGAUAAGUCACUUUCCCUCUGUAGGCUCUGCGUCCUGCUUUGUGUAAGGAGAGAGCUGGGCAGUGAGGCCGAGGGUCCUUCCUGGGCUCACAGUCCAAGUCGCAAGGAAUCACAUCAUUUCCAAGUACCCAUGGCAGAAGAGGGAGCCAUCCUCAAGGUCACCAAAGACCUAAGAGCAGCUGCCGUCUCUGCCAUCCUCCAGGGCUAUGGGGAUGGGCAGGGGCCAGUGACAGACACCAGUGCUGAGCUGCACAGACUCUGUGGCUGCCUGGAGCUGCUGCUGCAGUUUGACCAGAAAGAGCAGAAGAGCUUCCUGGGGCCUCGGAAGGAUUACUGGGACUUUCUCUGCACUGCCCUACGACGGCAGCGGGGGGACAUGGAGCCAAUCCACUUUGUCCGUUCCCAGGACAAG
rnacentral:sRNA from 1 species